rnacentral:rRNA from 1 species
UCGGGAAUUUUGGGCAAUGGGCGAAAGCCUGACCCAGCAACGCCGCGUGAAGGAUGAAGUAUUUCGGUAUGUAAACUUCGAAAGAAUAGGAGGAAUAAAUGACGGUACUAUUUAUAAGGUCCGGCUAACUACGUGCCAGCAGCCGCGGUAAUACGUAGGGACCAAGCGUUGUUCGGAUUUACUGGGCGUAAAGGGCGCGUAGGCGGCUCUGUAAGUCACUUGUGAAAUCUCUGAGCUUAACUCAGAACGGCCAAGUGAUACUGCAGAGCUAGAGUGUAGAAGGGGCAAUCGGAAUUCUUGGUGUAGCGGUGAAAUGCGUAGAUAUCAAGAGGAACACCUGAGGUGAAGACGGGUUGCUGGGCUGACACUGACGCUGAGGCGCGAAAGCCAGGGGAGCAAACGGGAUUAGAUACCCAAGUAGUCCCUGAGCGGGCUGGCAAGGCGCAU